GAAGAAGGCCUUUUGGUUGUAAAGCACUUUAAGCAGUGAAGAAGACUCUUCGGUUAAUACCCGGGGACGAUGACAUUAGCUGCAGAAUAAGCACCGGCUAACUCUGUGCCAGCAGCCGCGGUAAUACAGAGGGUGCAAGCGUUAAUCGGAAUUACUGGGCGUAAAGCGAGCGUAGGUGGCUUGAUAAGUCAGAUGUGAAAUCCCCGGGCUUAACCUGGGAACUGCAUCUGAAACUGUUAGGCUAGAGUAGGUGAGAGGGAAGUAGAAUUUCAGGUGUAGCGGUGAAAUGCGUAGAGAUCUGAAGGAAUACCGAUGGCGAAGGCAGCUUCCUGGCAUCAUACUGACACUGAGGCUCGAAAGCGUGGGUAGCAAACAGGAUUAGAUACCCUGGUAGUCCACGCCGUAAACGAUGUCUACUAGUCGUUGGGUCCCUUGAGGACUUAGUGACGCAGCUAACGCAAUAAGUAGU
rnacentral:rRNA from 1 species